rnacentral:tRNA from 1 species
GCGUCGCGUGGUCGGGGGUCGUCGGGGCUGGCGGCCUCGAAGAGUGGGAGGACGUGUUCGGCGCAAGUCGCGGCCCAC